GUGGGGAAUUUUGGACAAUGGGCGCAAGCCUGAUCCAGCAAUGCCGCGUGCAGGAAGAAGGCCUUCGGGUUGUAAACUGCUUUUGUACGGAACGAAAAGGCUCUGGUUAAUACCUGGGGCUCAUGACGGUACCGUAAGAAUAAGCACCGGCUAACUACGUGCCAGCAGCCGCGGUAAUACGUAGGGUGCAAGCGUUAAUCGGAAUUACUGGGCGUAAAGCGUGCGCAGGCGGUUUUGUAAGACAGGCGUGAAAUCCCCGGGCUCAACCUGGGAAUGGCGCUUGUGACUGCAAAGCUGGAGUGCGGCAGAGGGGGAUGGAAUUCCGCGUGUAGCAGUGAAAUGCGUAGAUAUGCGGAGGAACACCGAUGGCGAAGGCAAUCCCCUGGGCCUGCACUGACGCUCAUGCACGAAAGCGUGGGGAGCAAACAGGAUUAGAAACCCGUGUAGUCC
rnacentral:rRNA from 1 species